CCAUUCAGGAGGUGGUUGCGGAUCACCCCCAGGCUGGGUCUGACCUUUAGGCAGAUAAGGGAACUUUGGAGAACAACUGCAUCUGGUGGAUUGGAAGACACGGAGGAUUGAGAGACAGGAGGGGUAGGGAAGGCCAAAGAGAUACUAAGAUUUCUUCAGUUCAAAGCACCAUAUUUUGGGAUAUCCAUUUCUGAGCCCCAACAACAGAUGUGCCCAUACAUGUAAACAUUCAAAAAAAGCUAUGUAUAAAUGGGAGUAUAUACCUUCAUAACAAAGGCUAUGGAUAUUUUUGGAUCACUUUCAAUAGACUUUACAAUCCAUCAAUAAAAUUAAUACAUUGCCACUGA
rnacentral:lncRNA from 10 species